GGGGGUUUAAUGGUAUUUCAAGCAUUCUGACUUAUUAACACAGUUUAAGAGUUGUUUCCUCAUGCUAAACGUAGGCAAAGUGUCAAAAAUGCAGUUGGGCGUGUUUCAGAGUAUUUCUGUGCCGAAUGCACUUCGCCAGGGUUCGUACAAGUUUCGGCUAAUUUUUUUCGAUUACGGUUCUAACUGACGUUUCAGGGGUUUUCGAUACGUAUCACUUCUUUAUAUGGGCUUCCGCCGGAAAACUUCCCCCGGAAAACCCCGCCCAGCUGUCAGUCAGCGGGAGACGCUAGAGCUUGCUAACAGCUUAUCACGCCACUCAGCUUUGUUUAAUUUCAAAAGUCAACAAUGGCACAACAAGAAGUGUGUUUUUGGAUGUAAGGAGAAGACAUCCAGCCUUAUGGAAACAAUGGAUAUAGUUUAUUAUCCGGAUUAGCAGCGGAGUUUUGCGUGUGUGUUUGAUGCGGUGGAUUUUCGUGACGAGUUACACGUGGUUCAGGCCAAUACUUACAGGUUCAAGACUUCCUGUGUGAGACGACAACACUGCAAUCUGCAAUGUCCAGCCAUGCACAGACUAAGAGAUAUUUCCAAAUCCCUGAUGCCAACUCCCGAUGCCAACUCCCUGCACAGCAACUUACCGAACAAGGUUGCCUUCAGAACGGGUGAUCAUUUAUCCAGCGUUGCUUUUCACGGAACACAACUUGAGGCCUGGAAACAUGGGGGAGUUUGGGUCAGUGAGGUUCUCAAAACCUCAAAUCCACAAACUCUUCCUGGUCUUCGGCAUAUAGACCCCAAGAGAGAACAACCUCAUAACUGUGUCUCCUUACUGAACACGAAAAUACGAAUCAAUCAAGGGAGGCAUUAAGAGCUGGAAGCCUGCAGCAUCUCAUUAGUCAUUCUUACAGCUUUAACACAGCGUUCCCUCCAACGGACCAACUGUUAGCUUUGGAGUUGAAUUGUGUUGUUUUAUGUAGCUGAAAGUAUUGUGGAAAACCACUAAACUAAAGCGUUUACUUCCUCCUCGUGUUACAUUAUACAUAGGAAAGUCUUUAUUUAUAACAUUUAGAGAUGGAAUUCUUGGCCGGACAAUGAUGGUUGUCGCCAAGGUCACAAGAGAUGUAAUCAAGAGAUGUGCUGUGUGUUAUGACGGCUCUCCUGAUUUUGCCAAGUGGUUGAUGUCCUCAGGGCAACCCUGGGACAACAUUUCAAUCAACCAAUUAGAUUUCAGAAAUAAGUUUACAGUUUGUUUUAAGUUUAAGCUUACAACCAGGAUUAGCU